rnacentral:rRNA from 1 species
GAUGAACGCUGGCGGCGUGCCUAAUACAUGCAAGUCGAGCGAACGGACGAGAAGCUUGCUUCUCUGAUGUUAGCGGCGGACGGGUGAGUAACACGUGGAUAACCUACCUAUAAGACUGGGAUAACUUCGGGAAACCGUAGCUAAUACCGGAUAAUAUUUUGAACCGCAUGGUUCAAAAGUGAAAGACGGUCUUGCUGUCACUUAUAGAUGGAUCCGCGCUGCAUUAGCUAGUUGGUAAGGUAACGGCUUACCAAGGCAACGAUGCAUAGCCGACCUGAGAGGGUGAUCGGCCACACUGGAACUGAGACACGGUCCAGACUCCUACGGGAGGCAGCAGUAGGGAAUCUUCCGCAAUGGGCGAAAGCCUGACGGAGCAACGCCGCGUGAGUGAUGAAGGUCUUCGGAUCGUAAAACUCUGUUAUUAGGGAAGAACAUAUGUGUAAGUAACUGUGCACAUCUUGACGGUACCUAAUCAGAAAGCCACGGCUAACUACGUGCCAGCAGCCGCGGUAAUACGUAGGUGGCAAGCGUUAUCCGGAAUUAUUGGGCGUAAAGCGCGCGUAGGCGGUUUUUUAAGUCUGAUGUGAAAGCCCACGGCUCAACCGUGGAGGGUCAUUGGAAACUGGAAAACUUGAGUGCAGAAGAGGAAAGUGGAAUUCCAUGUGUAGCGGUGAAAUGCGCAGAGAUAUGGAGGAACACCAGUGGCGAAGGCGAUUUUCUGGUCUGUAACUGACGCUGAUGUGCGAAAGCGUGGGGAUCAAACAGGAUUAGAUACCCUGGUAGUCCACGCCGUAAACGAUGAGUGCUAAGUGUUAGGGGGUUUCCGCCCCUUAGUGCUGCAGCUAACGCAUUAAGCACUCCGCCUGGGGAGUACGACCGCAAGGUUGAAACUCAAAGGAAUUGACGGGGACCCGCACAAGCGGUGGAGCAUGUGGUUUAAUUCGAAGCAACGCGAAGAACCUUACCAAAUCUUGACAUCCUUUGACAACUCUAGAGAUAGAGCCUUCCCCUUCGGGGGACAAAGUGACAGGUGGUGCAUGGUUGUCGUCAGCUCGUGUCGUGAGAUGUUGGGUUAAGUCCCGCAACGAGCGCAACCCUUAAGCUUAGUUGCCAUCAUUAAGUUGGGCACUCUAAGUUGACUGCCGGUGACAAACCGGAGGAAGGUGGGGAUGACGUCAAAUCAUCAUGCCCCUUAUGAUUUGGGCUACACACGUGCUACAAUGGACAAUACAAAGGGCAGCGAAACCGCGAGGUCAAGCAAAUCCCAUAAAGUUGUUCUCAGUUCGGAUUGUAGUCUGCAACUCGACUACAUGAAGCUGGAAUCGCUAGUAAUCGUAGAUCAGCAUGCUACAGUGAAUACGUUCCCGGGUCU